AACACUCAUCUCUCUUCCUAGAAUCAUUUUUCACCACUCAGCUGCUUCUCACCGUGCCCUUCACCCACCGAUUCAGUUCUUGCAGGAAUCACUUUUCACCACUCAAAAUAACUUAUUCAACCCAAAUCCUUCAUUAAUCACACUCCUCUAUGGAUGACGGAUGAAAAAACUGAGAUGGGUCACUCAUUAAACCUUCUUCUUCGUUGACCUUUCUUCUUCGUCAAUCACACUUCUUCUUCGUUAACCCUCAACCUUCACUCAUUCACUCAUUCAACUUCAGAAAAUGCAAAUGGGUCACUUAUUCUACUUUAACCCUUAGCCCUUCUUUGGUAAGUCACUAAUUCAACUUUAGAAAGAUCCAAAUGGGUCACUGAUUCAACCUCUCACAACUCUCUUAUUUCAAUGUUUUAAUUAUUUGAUUAAUAGUAGGUUUUGAACUUGUUUGUUUAUCAGUUUUUUUCCUUGUGUUUAAUUUAUCUUAAUUUUUUUCCUGGUGUUUUUAUUAUUUGAUCCAAAUACAUAUAUUUUUUUUAUUAUUUGGAUCUUAGAAGGAUUAAUGUUUAUGAUUAACAUAAUAAGAUGUUGUGUAGCUAAUCCAAAUACAUAUUUUUUUUUAUUAUUUGGCUCUUAGAUGUUGUAUUUUUAGUUUUAGAAAUUAGAAUAGAAUCUUCUUGGCUCUUCAACGUGUAAAGAGAGUGUGAAGUUUGAGAAGUGUGUGAUGAUGAGUGAGUUUAUAAUUUUUUUUUUUUUUUUGGUGAAUUUUGGUAGUCAUGCAUAGUGGAUUAAUGUGUUGUGUAAGAUGCAAAACAUUGUAGGGAUUGUUGGAUUAAAAGAAAAAUAUUACAUAUAACUCAAAGUUUUCAAUCUUUUUUUCUUCUAUUAUUUUCUGCUCAAUAUACAAAUUAUAUUUUUAUAUAAUUUACUUUUUUUUAGCAGUUUAAGAGCCUUUCUUUAGUAUGUUCAUAUUUGGAAAAGUUUUAUUGUAUUUUCAUAUUUGGAUAAGUUUGAUUGAAUUGUUAAACAUUUAAAAUUAUAUUUUCAUUCUAGCAUCCAAUGUGUGAUUUUUUUUUCAUGAGAUUAUAUUAUGCAUUAGUUUGUGUAUGACUCCCUGAUUAAAUGUUAGUAAAAAUAGUAUCAACUAUUCAUAAAUUUGACUGAUUAAUCUUUUCAAAUUUGUUCCUCUCAACACUCAUUCACUUCAUUAUGGCUGGGUAUUAGAAAUCAUUAUGCUGGGUAUUAGAAAUCAUUGACUGCGAAUUGAGUUUGCUAUGGUUUCCAACAACUUCAGAUUAAGACAAGGCAUUUUGUGAUUAUUAAUACUUUCCUGCUUGCUUUGAUAGUCAUAUCUUGUCUAGAUGUUCAUGUAAAUUAUAAAUCUGAAUUAUGAAGUUUUUGGAAUGUGAAGUUUUGUUGGGGUUUCACCCUCUGUGCCUUCGGUGGCUAGCUUUUCGGUGUUUUUUAAUUUGGUGGAUGUUACGCCUAUAUGCGGCAUCUUUGUAGCUUUUUCAGUAGCAAUCCAAAGUUUACACAAUUUAAGUUUUAGUGUAAUUUUAUUUCUGGAAGUUAUGGUAAUCUUCAUAAGUAUCUUACUCCCAACAAGAUGGAAUAUACAAUAGCAACGAUUUCGUCAUGGCAGAACUGUCCUGUGAGUUGUUGUGUGUAGCUUGCUGAUCUGGUUUGGUGCCUUUUUGUACGCUGCAUACUGAUCUGGUGUUUUAGAUCAGGGACUUCUGUUUUUAGUUUUGUGUUGCGGCUAUAGUGGUAGGUGGGGUGUACUUGUGUGCUUCCUGGUGUAGUUGUUUCCUUGCCUUAUGAAUGGGUAGAGAUUUGGGGUUUUGGGUUUGUGUACAAGCCUUUUCCUUUCCCAGCUUUGUAUUGUUGCUUUGCUUUACUCACUGAUCACUUCUUGUGUUGGUGUAGUUUUAAUAAAUUUUCCACUGAAAAUAAAAGAGCCUAAUAUUUAGAGUCUAGUCAGUUGAUGCAUGUCACUCUAGGAAGGUGGUAUUUUAUUAGGAUUGAUUUUCUUUUCAUAGUCUGUUUUUUCUCUAUAGCAAUUUUACAAUUGUUAUAGCACUUUUAGACAAUUUUAUAUAAUUUUAUAGUAAACGCACCCAAUUUUCGCUUCAUGUCUUUUUGCUUGUUGUUUCAGAUCUUGCUUUGCAGCACUCUUCAACUCUCGUCUUGUGUUCCGUCAAUCUCUUCAACUCACGUAACCUUCAUUCAUUCUCAUAAUAUCCUUA
rnacentral:lncRNA from 1 species